CUCGAAACCCCGGCGACUCGGGGCCUGAGCGCGCGUCUCCCGGCGCGGGGUUCCUCCCACGCAGACCCUCAUUCAAACGAUGCCAAAGGGGCGGCGCGGCAGCCACAGCCCCACCAUGAGCCAGCGGUCGGCUCCGCCCCUCUAUUUCCCGUCCCUGUACGACCGCGGCAUCUCCUCGUCCCCGCUCAGCGACUUCAACAUCUGGAAGAAGCUCUUCGUGCCGCUGAAGGCGGGCGGGGCGCCAGUGGGCGGGGCGGCGGGGGCCCGGUCCCUGUCCCAGGCGCUCCCCACCCCGGCGCCCCCGCCCCCGCCACCACCCGGCAUGGGUCCCUCCGGCGAGCGCCCCUGGCCCUCGCCCUGGCCCUCCGGCCUGGCCUCCAUCCCCUACGAGCCUCUGCGCUUCUUCUACUCGCCGCCGCCGGGGCCUGAGGUGGCUGCCUCGCCCCUGGUCCCCUGCCCCUCGACCCCCAGGCUCGCCUCUGCCUCCCACCCGGAGGAGCUCUGCGAGCUGGAGAUCCGGAUUAAGGAGCUGGAGUUGCUCACCAUCACUGGGGACGGCUUCGACUCCCAGAGCUAUCUGAACUUCAUGAGCCUCUUAGUCCCAAACUCCAUCCUCCCUCCAUCCUAAACCCUUUGGGUCAUCUGGACUCUGAGCCUCCACACCUGGAACUCCAUCCGCCACCACCCCGUCCUGAACUUUAAUCCUCCUGCACAGUCAUCCUCCUACCCUGUACUCUGGAGCUCCACCCACCACAGACAGUCCCUAAGCUUUAAUGUUCGGUCUUAAACCGGGGCUCUCCAUGGGGGGAAGGUGAGACACAUUCCUGAAGGCGCUAAAAGACGAAAAGUUACAAGGACUGAAGACCAAGCAACCCGGAAAGAAGUCGGCCUCUCUC